ensembl:lncRNA
UUUGACAAGAGUUAGGAAGCUGAUCGAGAUUUUUAGUUCGUCAACGCAAUAUUGCAAAUGCAAUAGUGUAAUGACUGUUUUUUUGAUAUUAUGGAACAAACGUCCCCCUGGAACGAUGAACUAGUUCAAUUUUGGUGGUUAAUGGUCAGUGUGACAUCAUAUGCGUUCCAUUUUGGUGAACCCGAUGUUUCCAACUUCCACACUAUGACUAAAACGAUAAGUGUAUGCUGUAACCAUAUGCUAAUUAUCUUAAUCUCAACACGUUUUGGGAAAAAAAACAAGAUUUUGGACGGACAUGGAUGUGAAAUCCAGUUCAACUGGUUACACACAACAGCAAUUCGUUACUUUUAGCUUUCGUCGAAGCACCGAUGAGUAUGAUGAGCACCUGAUUAACGCUCUCACAGUCUGUUCCAACGGAGCCAAAUGGAAGCUUAGCGUCUCCCAUCUACUGUCACUGAUUACAUCAGCAAAAUUAAACAAUCUGUCAUGUAUAGCACGAACCGUCUUAGCUUUGAUGGAAUAAUAAAUACUAUGUACGCAAGAAAACGGUGACAGCUCUUCACGGCUUCGUUCUGUUCAUCCGUACAUUGAGGCUCUGGCAUGAGUUGACACGCUGCGGGCAGAUGGAGCUGACGUGACAUCACCAGCUACAGGACGGGCCGAUGAAGAAGCAGGUACACUGACGGGCACAUGGUGCAUGCGGGAGGGAAAGGGGAUGUUCCAUGGAGAACGUUUCAAUGAAAACAACAAGAAAGGAAAGAAAGGAGGGAACAAUUAAUACACCUCAGAUGCUUAAUCUCAAGGUUCCCAAUCGGCUUUAUUCAAUCUUUAUCCAAUCAACGGCAUUAUUUCUGGAAAUGCUGAGUUUGAAGGACGCACGUUCGGACUCGUGACGACCAAAAACAAAAAUUUUAAGAAGAUAAUUGCUAGAGAGGCAACGAACGAGGGGUAGACGCAUGUUUUGAGGGGCCAAGAGUGAAGAAUGAUAAAAGCUCAUUAGCAAAACGGCUCCUCUCUCACCUCCCGCUGUUACACGUGGACACGUGUUUGUGUCUCUGUGUGUGUGUUUGUGUCUGUGUCCACAGGCUUUCAGUCAAAAGGACAAAGAGCCUUGUCAAGUAAACAUGCAGCCAGUCAAGCAAACAGUUGAGGUCAUGCACACACACACACACACACACAGUAUAUGUUUAGAUGCGUGUAUUGUGUGAGGGCACCGAUGCCGUUUCCAAGUCAUUUAACACUAGAUGGUGUUGGACUGGCCAAUGAUUACCAUUCUGUCUGAAAUACAAACAGACACAGAGAGACAGGGAGUGUGUGUGUGUGUGUGUGUGUGUGUGUGUGUGUGUGUGUGUGCGUGUGGGGGGCACAGGUAACGGCCAUCAGAGGCAGCAAGCACUCAAACAGCACAGUGCACUCAGAAAGUGAGCGUUGUGCUUUAUUAGUACUUUUAAAGAGGUUUCUCACUUUUUUUAAAAACAUUUUCGGCAAAGGUCUUCAAUGCAAAGGUCUUCAAUGCAAAAGUCUUCAAUGCAAAGGUCUUCAAUGCAAAGGUCUUCAAUGCAAAGGUCUUCAAUGCAAAAGGUCUUCAAUGCAAUGGUCUUCAAUGCAAAGGUCUUCAAUGCAAAGGUAUUCAAGGCAAAGGUCUUCAAUGCAAAAGGUCUUCAAUGCAAAAGGUAUUCAAUGCAAAAGGUCUUCAAUGCAAAGGUCUUCAAUGCAAUGGUCUUCAAUGCAAAAGUCUUCAAUGCAAAGGUCUCCAAUGCAAAGGUAUUCAAUGCAAAGGUCUUCAAUGCAAAGGUCUUCAAUGCAAAGGUCUUCAAUGCAAAGGUCUUCAAUGCAAAGGUAUUCAAGGCAAAGGUCUUCAAUGCAAAAGGUCUUCAAUGCAAAAGGUAUUCAAUGCAAAAGGUCUUCAAUGCAAAUGUCUUCAAUGCAAUGGUCUUCAAUGCAAAAGUCUUCAAUGCAAAGGUCUUCAAUGCAAAGGUCUCCAACGUGACUUCUGCAGUUGAAUGUGCCCGAUUGUCCACAUACAUGUCCAAACUUUAGUGGAACUUGGGGGGGAUUGGAUAGUGAAUAUGUUAUGUGUUCGGCCAUGGCGGCGGAUGAAUGCAUUGCAUCGGCCCCCGGCCCCUCGGGCCCCUCGGGCCCCCGGGCCCCCGGGCACCGAUAGGUAGACGGAGAUCUUUGUGUAAAACUCAACAGAGCUAUGGGAGGAACCCAGGACUAUAUCCCACAUAGAGAGUGGUGACCUAGUGAAAGCGAUACAACAUAAUGUCGUAAAAAAAACGACGACAACAUCCCAAAUGACCAAGAGAAUAAAGUCAAAGUUUUUCUAUAUUAACUCUCUCUCAAAGGUAUAUUCGUACAGCUUUUCCUACAAAUAAAACCAGGGUAUCUAUUGCAUCCCCCAAGAUUCGAUGUGUCUGUUUAAUGCACAAUUUAGUACGAACAGCGAUCAGACUUUCAUUGAUAGUUGAGGGAAGCAUUUAACUCAUUGGGGUUGAACAUUCUCUCAAGUUAUUGGAGGACUAUCUUUCCUGUUUGUAAUGUCAGAAGAAACUCCAGAACUAUGCAUGUUAUGUACAUUUCUGAUCUAUUGAUCUACUGUUUUCAGUAAAUUGUAUAAAACUACACAUUUGGCGUCGCUGUGUAAAAAGUGUUUGUCCACCUCAGGGCAAAAAACAAAACGCUGUUCUGUCUCCCUUCCCUUCUUCUCUGCUGACAAUGACUCCUGUCGGCCCCGUGUCUUUCCCGGGAGCUGUCAGGGGGAGUAUUCAGCAUGCUUACCGAAGCACACAAAUGACACCUUUUAAGGCUGUGAGCUGUGUGUGUGUGUGUGUUUGUGUUAAAUGUAAGUGCACCAACGGUUUCACAAAGUGCAAAUUCCAUUUUUGUUGCGACGCUCUGGAGAGAAUAUCGUUUUCACUUCAUUAGCUCUGUAUGUGUGUAUCUGUGUGGAUGUGUGUGGAGAAAAAGAUGAGAUGGUGCCUCUAUCAAUCUGUGUGUGUGUGUGUGUGUGUGUGUUUGUGUUUGUGUUUGAGGGAACACACAGCUUGUUUGGUCGCUUCAUUUGUCUUCUCUAACAUGAUUACAAAUACUUAACUAUUAACUAUGAUAUGGGAUUUUAACUUAGAAUUCCCUUUUUUUUCAAUCCUUCUUUGCAAUUCUUCUUCAAAGAGGAUGUUUGUUAACUAUUGCCUCCCUACUAGAAAACUGCGAGCCUGGAAAAGGGCAUUGCAGGCAUUUUCUCUCUCUCAUUAUUUCUCUGUAAAUGUAUGAAAUAAAGGAUCAGUUAUUCGUUACCUGCUCAAUUGGAAUAUAAUGGGUCAUUUAAGGCAAUAACAUUUCUUUCGGGAUGCCCUUUGCCGCUGCAACCAUUUUAUUCAUCAAGUUAUCCAAGUAAAAUCCCGUAGUUGAGGCGUGCGAGGUUUUCAAACAAGUCUUCUUUUUCAUUCACAUUUUCUUAUCAUUUUAGUUGCUGGAUUUGCUGCAGACCAACUGUAUCCGUCCCAGAGUCAAUAUAUUAUGGAAGUAGCUACAUGUCAGCUUUGUUGGUUUGUUACAAUUACUUUUAUUUACAAAUUCACAGCUCUAAAAAUCCAAAAUGUGAAUUUACAACAUUUCCCGAAUACAUUUUAUAAAACAGCGCGUUUCAUGAAUCAACUGUAUUCCCAUUUGGAAGAUGGUAAAUGCAAUAGUUUAGACCCUGGGGGAUUUAGACCUCUAGUCACGCUAUGGAGCUGUCUGUGAGACAGUUUCUACGCUGAUCUAUAGUUUGAGAUCCCAUAACGUAACGUGCCUCUGCGAUGCUCUGCUUGAAAGACACAGAAGGUGUGUUUCUUAAGGGUUUAGGAUGAGGAUGAAAGAGCAUUUGUUGGUUUGUUCUGGUACAACUACAGCAAAUAAACAUUACAAAUGUGGGUUAAGUGUUUGGGAUAUUUUACAUGUGGCCCUGCAUCUCAUUUUUCCCUUUCAAGAGGACCCAUUAGUUGACUGUAGCUCACUUUCUCCACAGCACAGCAGCCCGAGUGGCUCUUUAUCAUGAUUUCUCUUCGUCUUCGUGCAGGAUAUCCGAGAGGGAAUCUCAUCAUCUUUUCUCCACCGGAAGCAAAUCCAAAUACGCACAUACAUCGUGUGUUUUACACUACAAGGGGAUGCAAGUGGGCACGUCAUUAAAACUUAAUCAUGUUUUAUCAAUUGUUGGGGCACUUCAGUCGUCUUCUUGAGUCCAGCCUUUCACAUGUCAAAAAAUGUUGAUUUCCGAGUUAAAUAUUUACCAUAAAUGUGAGAUUAAUGAGUUAGUUGUGGAAUAUAAUGCUUUUUCGCUUGAUAGAUUUCUGUUAAGAAGAACAUUACGUUAACCUAAAACUAAGUUAUUGAGUUGAAUUGUUCUCUGAUUCGACAUUUCUCCUUUGUGAUCUCUCUUAAUCUUCUUCAUAAUAAAAAGUAAUACAAGCAGUCAAUAAGUGUUUUUUUUUAUGUUACGCCAACUUAAAAUAGAAGUAAUGAAAUAGACAGCGCAGACGUUGUGAUCCGCUUCACAGCACAAAUUGAUUAAACAUCGAAUUGACAUUUUCCACGGCUCCGCACUUUGUGUUAUUAUGAUGUGAAAGCAGGUCAUUCGCUUGCAGUAACAAUAUUGAAGUCAGAUAAAUAAUUAAAAAGUUGGACACAAACUUUGAUGCACUGCAGCUUCUACCAGAGACAGAUGCGUAAUUACAGAGAGACACUGUAAAGCCUUUACAACAGCCAUGAGACAACCAAGCAGAAAAUGACCGGUCGCAGGAGCAAGACGCAAUAGACGAGUGCACAGUUGGCGCGGCUGCUGGAUUUCAGUGCUGGGCUUCUUGUGCACAAGCGUGAUCGUUUGUGGCGACCGUUCAUUUUUUUUAUCUUGUUGGUAAUCUUGUAAGUGUGGUUUUGGACACGCUUGAGAAUCGCGGGAUGGCCCAUUCAAAGGACAAUCU